AGGGUUUGGACUUUAGUUUUGUUGCUUUAGGAAUUAGGGGUAACUAGAAAUAGGUUUUCUAGUGUGACUGCUCUUGAAUUGAACAGUUAGCUGAUCCUAAAGGAUCAUGAGUCUUAAUUAUGUGAAAUAUGGUUUCUAAUUCUACAGGUCUAUCCUUGGUAGUUCAAGAUCAGAACUGAUUAUUAGUUGGAUAAUCAGAUUUGGAUCUGGAUAAUCUGAUUAUUCUAAAACUCCUUGCGAUUUUUUUAUGUCAGGAUAUAUUUUCAGAUUAUGAAAAGUACAAAAAUAAAUCUCUCUUGUCCAAACAUUAUAUUUGGAUUUGCCAUAAUAAACCAGGAUUUAAGUCGAAUCAGAUCUGACCUGUUUUAUCCACCAUUUUCUGAUGAUUCUCUUAUCUCCACCAUUAACAGGUGAGGUUUGGUUUGGAUACCAACUAAGAUCUGGAAUGUUGACAGUCGUGCGCAAAUGUUGCCUUAGUUGUCUUUCUUUCCCUUCUUUCUCUUAUGUUUUCUACCGUAGUGUAAAGCUCAAACAGGCCACCCUUUUUGUAUAUGUAAAUCAUCACUAACCUUAUGCAAAGUACCUCACCAUGCUUGGUAGUCAAUAAGUGCACAUUACAAUUCACACCAUCUGAUCUGUCUACAGAUUCGUGAACAUUGCCCUGGAGUCUUAGAAACCAGAGACAUCAGAAGAUGCCCUGUUUCAAGUGAUUUAGACAGAGCAUUUUGGUUUAAGGCAUGCGUUUGGUGGGAAGAGUUUCAGGGCGCUAAAGAAGAGGCACAGGUAUCCUUGGAGGAAUCAAACUAGCACUCUAGUGCAAGGUUCAGAAGCUGGCUGGGGAUAGAGGUGGAUGGUGUAUCUAUGCAUAUGCACUGAUGAAGGAUAUUUAUCAUCUACUGGGUUAUUUUGAGUCAUGGACGAUCUGCUGUGUUCAGCAGGACCGAGUUUGUGACACUUUGUCAGUGUCUCUCACAAUGGGCAUUUAAGCUAAAGAGUUCUGCAAAUUUUAUUCAUGGCUUUCUUAUUUGGUGGUAAAUACUACUGAUGACUGCAGAGUCUAUUACGGAUGUAAAUGUUUGCUAUUUUUGCCAAUGAUUAAAAUUUACCAAAAAUAAAGAAAAGGUGAAUCCUUAUUUGCACAUUA